rnacentral:rRNA from 1 species
AACGAACGCUGGCGGCAGGCUUAACACAUGCAAGUCGAGCGCCCCGCAAGGGGAGCGGCAGACGGGUGAGUAACGCGUGGGAAUCUACCCUUCACUACGGAACAACUCCGGGAAACUGGAGCUAAUACCGUAUACGUCCUUCGGGAGAAAGAUUUAUCGGUGAUGGAUGAGCCCGCGUUGGAUUAGCUAGUUGGUGGGGUAAUGGCCUACCAAGGCAACGAUCCAUAGCUGGUCUGAGAGGAUGAUCAGCCACACUGGGACUGAGACACGGCCCAGACUCCUACGGGAGGCAGCAGUGGGGAAUAUUGGACAAUGGGCGAAAGCCUGAUCCAGCCAUGCCGCGUGAGUGAUGAAGGCCCUAGGGUUGUAAAGCUCUUUCACCGGUGAAGAUAAUGACGGUAACCGGAGAAGAAGCCCCGGCUAACUUCGUG